rnacentral:misc_RNA from 1 species
AACGCACAUUGCGCCCCUUGGUAUUCCAUGGGGCAUGCCUGUUCGAGCGUCAUUUGUAUCUUCAAGCUUUGCUUGGUGUUGGGUGUUUGUCCUGCUCUAUGCGUGGACUCGCCUUAAAUCAAUUGGCAGCCGGUAAUCUGGUGUUAAGAGCGCAGCACAUUGUGCGCUCCUCGCUGUGUAUUGCGGCGUCCAUUAAGCCUAUAUUUUUUGCUCUUGACCUCGGAUCAGGUAGGUAUACCCGCUGAACUUAA